rnacentral:rRNA from 1 species
UACGAAGGGGGCUAGCGUUGUUCGGAAUUACUGGGCGUAAAGCGCACGUAGGCGGAUAUUUAAGUCAGGGGUGAAAUCCCGGGGCUCAACCCCGGAACUGCCUUUGAUACUGGGUAUCUCGAGUCCGAGAGAGGUGAGUGGAAUUCCGAGUGUAGAGGUGAAAUUCGUAGAUAUUCGGAGGAACACCAGUGGCGAAGGCGGCUCACUGGCUCGGUACUGACGCUGAGGCGCGAAAGCCAGGGGAGCAAACGGG